GGUCUAAUAUUCAACAAUGAUAUUAAAUUGCAAAUUUAAAAGUAAAUUUUAUAAAAAUUUUUAGACUU
rnacentral:tRNA from 1 species